ACUAAUCUGGCUGCAGACAUGCCGGGCCUGAUAAGGGAGGAAAGAGACUAUACCAUGAAAGAAUGGUAACUCUCAUGGAUCCUGGAACAAACCAGGGAUGCUCCUGGGACUGGAUUUUGCGAAUGCCUGAUUAAGGAGGCUGGAAUGUAAGACUGGCUAACAAGAAUCCAUCGGCUGGAGGGCACUUUCUUGAGACACAAGAUUUAAUAUCCUAGCGAGGAUACCAGGGGAUGGGGCAGACUCUGCUAGGGUGGCUCUUAGAAGUCUGGAAAAAGUAGUGGCUAACACUCAGUGCAGUGGAAAUACCUGAGUUCUCCUGGCAGAUGGUAGAGAAGAAGUUAAAAAAGCUGAGGAAAGUGGACACGCUGGAACGGAUUUGUUAUCUAAGGCCGGUAAUGACAGGCAAGGACAGAGGGGCAGGCAAGGGGGCUUGACCCACAGAAAGCUGUGGAGAUGGUGAAUGGAGCAGGGUAUCCCCAGGAGCAAACCAGAGGGGCAGCCAAGAAGCCUCUGCUUAAUAUCUACAGCCAGAAAAGCAGACAGGAGUGGAGGAGCAGAAGGCAGGGGCAAUAGGAAGUCACCGUCCCUUGCUCAGUUCCCAGACCUGAACCAAUUUUCAGAUAUGAAACCCGCUGACCGAAGAGGUGGCCAGAUCUCUAGGAAUAGGACCCUGCCAAACCUCAAGUAUGUAUCAUGAUGAUUCCUUCAGGAUUCUUCCAAAGGCCUGUGGCCAUUUGUUUGGGUGAUUGUUCACUAGAGAAAGGGGAAUAACAAGACAUUUGAGGACUAGUAGAUACAGAGUUUGAGUUGACGUUAACACCUGGAGACUCAAAGCAUCAUCGUGGGCCUCUUUUCAGAGCCAGGCCAUGGUGGUCAGGCAGUAAGUGGAGUCCUGGCUAAAGUCCGGAUUGCAGUGGGCCUGCUGGGUCCACGAACCCACCCAGAAGCCCCUUGUCCCUGAGAGUGUCAUUCACAUGCUUUGACAGUUGGAGUAACCCCUACCUCAGUCCUGGUCUACUGGGUGGGAGCUAUUAGAGCCAAGAAGGCCAAGUAGAAACUUCUGAAACUGCCGUGCCCCUUCUCCUCGCCCUGCCCGAGAUAGUAAACCAAAAAUAACAUCUCAUCCUAGGGGCUGUGGUAGAAACUAAUUCCACGACUAACAACUAAGGAUGAAGGAGUGUGGUCCCUACCAUUGAUUUCUUCAUUUAACUCACCAGUCUGACCUCUGCAGAAAUUGGACGGAUCCUGGAGGAAGACCGUAGACCGCCACGGCUUAACCAAGGGGGAGCCCUGCUGGCAGCUGCUGUGCCUGAUGUGGAGUCCUUGCCGGAGCAGGUUCACGAGGCCUUAGAGAUCAGGACCGUGAUCCCACAGAACAUCACCCUGAUCCACUGCAUCGCUGCGCCAUGCUGGUUAGACAGGAUGAGCAAGAGGUGUCCCUAUGCUGGAAGCCGCGGCUAAGUCACACGCACUCCCGAGUGCGGCAUAUAAAACCUAUGACGAUUCAGAGACCUACCACUUCAAUGAAGUUUUGAAGGGGUUCAGUGGUCAGGGGGAUGCCAGGAUAUCCCCUCCCAAGUAAACGAAAUGGCUGCAUUUUGUAUUUCUUACCACAAGAAAGCACAAUGCCUGGUAACCCUCUUGGGGUUAGAGACAACCCAUUAUUCUGGGUGACAAGGAAGGCUGCCAGCUGUAGGUGGGCCCCAGGACGGGAAGAGGCUCUGCUGAAGGUUUAGGCUGCAGUGCAAGCAGUCCUGCCAUUUGGGUUAUGCUGUUUGGCAGACUCUCUGGUGCUGGAAUAGUCAAUAGUGGGAGAGGGAAAUGGUGUAGUUGGAGCUUAUGUCAAGUCCCAGUGGGAGAAGUGUAGAGCAGGACCCUGGGAUUCCACGGCAAGGCCACACCAUCGGCAACAGAGGGCUGCAUGCCUUUUGAGAAACUGUUUCUGGCAUGUUACUAGGCUCUGGUAGAGACAGAACACUCGCCCAGGGCACACCAAGUAGGACAUCUGAAACUGCCCUCUGAGCUGGGUUCUGUUGGAUGCAUCAAGUCAUAAAGUCAGAUGGGGCUGACAGCAGUCCGUCAUAAGACAGAAAUGCUGCCUCUGGGACUGAGCCAGACUGAGGCAGAGGGCAUGAAUAAACUGCAUGAGGACAUAGCCAGAGCCCAUUCCCUGGCUUGUACUUAUGGCCACAUGGAGGGUUCUGUACAACCAACUGAAAGAGGAGGAAAAAGCCUGAGCUUGGUUUAUGGAUGGGUCAACGUGGCACAUGGGUACAAGCUGAAGAUGGACAGUGGCUGCAUGGCAGGUGUAAGGGAAAGGGAAAAUAUUCUUCCUGGAUAGAGCUGUGAGCAGGGCGCUUGCUCACCCACCUUGUUGCACAAGAAAAAGUGGCCCAAGGUGGUGAGAAUAUAUACACCCUCUUGGGCAGUGGCCAAUGGUCUGGCCAUUUGUUCAGGGGCCUGGAAGGAAAAGGACUGGCAGAUUGGGGACAAGGAGGUGUGAGGUAGAGGCAUGUGGAUGGAUGCAGGAGAUAAAGCAUGAAGCGUGAGGGUUGCAGUACCACACACUAAUGCCCAUUAGAAAGCACUCGAAACAGAAGCAGCAGUGAAUAAGCAAGGAAAGAAAAUGUCUUGGACAGUUGACACAAGCCAGUCCUUGUCAUUGGCUACUCUGGAACUGGCAUGAUGGGCAUAUGAGUGGAAUGGCCACAGUGGCAGAGGCAGAAGCCACAGAGGGGCUAACAUGGGCCCAGCAGCACGUACUCCCACGUAUCAAGGCCACUCUAGGAACUGCUGCCUCUGAAUGUCCAACCCGUCAGCAAAAGAGACCAGUGCUGAGCCCCUGCAGUGGCACUGUGUCUCAAGGAGCCCAACUCACCGCUUGAAGGCAAGUCAACUGCAUCAGGCUCCUUCCAUCCCGAAGCGUCAGCAGUUCACCCUCUUUGGGAAAGAGAUCUAUUAUGGGUUUGCCUUUCCUGACCACAGAGCCUCAGUCAGCACCGCUGUCCAGGGACUUACAGAACGCCUGAUCCGAAGGCAUGGAAUUCCACCCAGUACAGCAUUUGACCAGGGACACUGGAGGGUCCCACUGGACUAGACUAUGGCUGCCACCAGGGCACUUUGGAUUCCUUAUGUCCAGGGACCAGCCGGGGGACUUGACCCUGAUCAGCAGGAUUCAGGGCUGCUACUCCAUAAUGGGGACAGGAAGGAAUGUGUGCGCCCAGGUGAUCCACUGAGCACUCCCAGAUGAUCCCCACUGUCAUCAUGAAAGGACAUGCGCAGCAACCCUGACCUGAGAAGGGUUUGGUUACCAAGCCUUGAGGUCCCCCUUUCCCCCUCCCCGGCAUAAAGGCUGGGGUCACACCACCAGGAACAGCCCAAGGGAAACAGGCAAGAGCCACCCUCUGUAUCUGGUGGAGAAGCAGCACCGUGUGGCACAAGGGUGGACUGUGACAACCAUGAAGACUUCUCUCGGUUCUCUGGCUGCAGGGAUUGGAAGUGGCCGCCCGCGCCAGCUGCUGUAUCCUGAAAUCUAUUACUGAGUUUGCACUAAGAAUGCACUUCCCACGAGCUGCUGCCUGCCAGUGACUGAGCAUGGCGGGGAUCCUGGCAGGCUGUCCUCAGGAGAUUGCCGAUGGCUUGAGGACUUCUCACCUGCCUUGCCGAGCCUCGUUAGACCCGCACUGCAGUCUAAGUCUCCUCCGCCCAACUCUCCUUCCUUCUCUCUUUCACAAGGUCACACCCGCACCAUGGUCUCCUGGCUCUCCCAGGCUCCCCUGCUUCCCUUCCAUUACAAUUUGAGAAGAACUCAUUUAGAUGAUUUUGUCUUUAAAUCCUUUAAAUCUGUUUGGAACCUGAGUCUUUGCAAAGGUAAACAGUUGGAAUCACACAACCAUCUGGGUCCUUCAUUUUGUAGGUCAAAGCCCAGCAAAGUUAAGGCACUAGUUCAAAGUCACAUGGCGAACUAGAAUAGAGCCAGCACCCAGGGGUCUUACCCGCCAGCUCUUCCCACUGUAGGCUCUUCUGUGAGCAGGCUGCUUGCUCUAAAUGUGCAUUGUCUAGUGUGGUAGCACCGGAAAUGUGGGUAGUUGUGGUGUAAUAAAAAAACACUUGGUCUUUGUCCUGGGUUCCUGGCCUGGAGUCCCUCAAACCCUUAGAAUUUCCUGGGUGAUGGCGUGUCUCUCGUUAUUCACAAGGAGCGCCUCUGACCACACCUGUGUUUAUGCGAACGAAGUGACUCACGGUGGGGCCCUAGAUAGCUUCAGGAUGGGCGCUGGUCAUUGGAAAGACCAAACAUGUGCAUAGAGGGUGGGAACUUGCAGCUUCAGGGGGGGUGGUGGGGGCUGCAGAAUGAGUUAUAAAAACUCUUGAACAAGAUUCAAAGAGCUCCCGGUUGGUGACCACAUUGAGACGCUGGGAGGGUGGAGGCCCCGAGAGGGCAUGGAAGGUCUGCACUACCCCUUCUCCCACAGCCUGCCCUAUGCCUCUUUUCCACGUGGCUGUUGUGGAGUUGUACCUUCAUAAUAAACUGAUAAACAUAAGUAAAGUGUUCUCUUGAGUUCUGUGAGCUCUUCUAAUCAUUGAACCUGAGGAGGGGGUUAUGGGAACCUCCCAAUUUAUAGCUGGUCAGUCGUAAGUAUAGGUGACCCCUGGGACUUGCACCUGGUAUCUAAAGUGGGGGCAGUCUUGUGGGAUGGAGUCCUAAACUGUGGAGCCAGCACU
ensembl:lncRNA